rnacentral:lncRNA from 1 species
UGUUGUCAAAGGCUUUAGAUAGAAAGAAGGUCUUGAUUAUUUUGAUACAUACUCUCCAGUGACUAGGAUUACAUCAGUUCGGAUGUUAAUUUUCCUAGAUGCAGUAUACGGUCUUGAUAUCCAUCAAACGGAUGUGAAAACCGCCUUCUUAAAUGGAGAGAUGGAGGAAGAGAUUUACAUGGAACAGACCCUCAUAGUUCCUGGUAAAGAAAAGAAAGUAUGCAAACUUGUUAAGUCACUCUAUGGACUAAACAAGCAUUGAAACAAUGGCAUGCAAAGUUUGAUCGAACCAUAUUGGCAAAUUGAUUUAAGAUCAAUGAAUGUGAUCAAUGUGUUUACAUUAAAGAUGUUCCAAAUCAAGGGUCAUUGUAUGCCAUAUGUAGAUGACAUGUUGUUAAUGAACAAGGACAUUACUAUUGUAAAAGCUACUAAGUGUAUGCUCGUUUGUAAGUUUGGUAUGAAAGAUCUAGGAGUUACCAAUUUGAUAUUGGGAAUUAAGAUUCAUAAAACUCCUCACGGUCUAGCAUUAUCUCAAUCUCAUUAUAUUCGAAAGGUACUUGAAAAGUUCAAGUACUUGAAUUUCAAAAGGGCAAAGAUACCAAUUGAUGUGAACCAUAAUCUUGUUAAGAAUAAAGGUGAAAGCAAGACUCAAUUGGAUUAUGCCAGAGUAUUUGGAAGUUUGAUAUACGUCAUGAACUGUACACGACCAAAAAUAGCCUGCAUUAUAAUUAAACUAAGUUAAUACACAAGUAAUCUCAAUCAAACUCAUUGGAUGGCAAUAAAGAGGGUUUUGGGGAACUUAGAUGACACUAAAACUAUGCUUUGCAUUACAACAAAUAUCCAACAGUUGUUAAAGGAUAUAGUGAUGCAAAUUGGAUUACUGGGUAACUGAAACUAAAUCCACGAGUGGUUAUGUUUUCACUAUUGGUGGAGGAGGAAUAUCUUCUAAAUCAUCCAAACAAACAUGUAUAGCUCGCUCUAUAAUGGAGUCUGAAUUCAUCGUCUUAGACAAGGCAGGUGAAAAAGUAGAAUGACUCUGGAAUUUCUUAGAAGAUAUUCCAUUUUGGCCCAAACCAAUGACCCUUAUAUGCAUACAUUGCGAUAGUCAAGCUGCAAUAGGAAGGGAUAGAAGCGUUAUGUAUAACGGCAAGUCUCGUCACAUACGUCAAAGACACAACUCUAUUAGACAACUACUCUCUAGUGGAAUUAUCACGAUUAACUAUGUAAUGUCUAAGAAUAAUGUGUCGAAUCCACUUACAAAAGGUUUUAUCUGGUAGAUUUUAUCAAACUUGCUGGGAGGUGGUUGGGAAUGAUGUUCUUAAAAUGGUGCAAGAAUUCUUCAAAGGUAACUCUCUUCCUAAAUCUAUUACUCACACCAAUCUAGUUUUGUUGCCCAAAAAAGAACAGAUCCAUUCUUUCACUGAUUUGAGGCCGAUUAGUUUGAGCAACUUCAUCAACAAGAUAAUAUCAAGGAUUGUGCAUGAUAGAAUUGAGAAAUACUUGCCUAAACUAAUAUCUUAUAAUCAAUCGGGAUUUGUGAAUGGUAGAAGUAUCAUGAAACCAUCCUACUCACACAAGAGAUAGUUACUGAUAUUAGAAAAAGAGGUAAGCUAACAAAUGUGGUGCUGAAACUUGAUAUGUCAAAGGCAUAUGACAGGGUAUCUUGGUUUUUCCUGAUGAAAGUCCUAAGGAGAAUGGGUUUUUCAGAAAUGUUUGUGGACCUAAUCUGGAGAUUAUUAUCUAAUAAUUGGUACUCAGUAUUGGUUAAUGGACAAUCCCAUGGAUUCUUUCACUCCACUAGAGGGGUUAAGCAAGGGGAUCCCUUAUCUCCUGCUCUAUUUAUACUAUCAGCUGAAGUUCUCUCUAGAUCCUUAAAUGCUUUAUUUGAGGAUGAUUCGUAUGUGGGUUAUGGCAUGCCUAAGUGGAGCACUCCUAUAAAUCACCUAGCCUAUGCAGAUGAUACUAUUAUAUUUGCUUCAGCUAACAGAUAUUCUUUGGAGAAGAUAAACUCAGUUUUGCAGGCAUAUGAAGAGGAAUCAGGUCAGAAAAUCAAUAAGGAGAAAAGUGCUUUAUAUAUGCACCAAAAAUGCAGCAGCUACAGAAAAACAACUAGUGGAAGAGUGCACUGGCAUGUCUAGUCGCUAAUUCCCAUUGAAGUAUCUGGGAUGCCCUAUCACUCAUGCUAGAAAAAGGAAGGCACACUAUGCCGAGCUUAUCCAGAAGGUGAAAUCUAAAUUACAGGCUUGGAAAGGUCAGAUGCUCUCGUAUGGUGGAAAGGAGGUGGUUAUUUCUGGUGUUCUACAAAGUGUCCCUAUUCAUGUCCUCUCUGUUGUUGUACCACCUAAUUGUGUGAUGAAAGAGCUUCACAAAAUUUUUGCUAAGUUUUUUUGGAGCAAUAAGGUUGAGGGUAAGAGCAAACACUGGGCUGCUUGGGAGAAAGUGUGCUUACCAAAGAAUGAAGGGGGCUUGGGGUUCAAAUCUCUGUUUGAAGUGUCAAAGGCCAUGCAUGCCAAACUAUGAUGGAGAUUCAGGACACAAAAUUCUACUUGGACUAAUUUCAUGUGGAAUAAAUAUUGUAAGAAACAAAUUCCAACCCUUGUUCAAUGGAAGGGAGGAUCUCAGGCUUGGAAAUAUAUGUUGCAAAAUAGGGAUGCAGUUGAACAAUAUUUGUGGUGGGAACCUAAGAGAGGUACUUCAUCAGUUUGGUAUGAUAAUUGGACCCAACUUGGGCCAUUAUAUAAACAUCAAACAGAAGUACAAACUUGUCACUCUUUGGUGGACAUUGAAGUUUUUAUGCAGAAUACAGGCUGGGACUAUGAGAGCAUGCAACAACACAUUCCUAAUAAUAUCAUUGAGAAUGUUAAAAGUCAUUUAGAUCGUGUGAGACAGAAUGAGGAGGGGGAUAGAACAUGGUGGAUUAAAACAAGCACUAGCAAAUUCACUAUAAAGAGUGUAUAGGAUAUACUAAGAAGAAGAGAUGAUGUAAAUGUACAUUUCGAGAAGAUAUGGAUGAAGGAAAUCCCUUUAAAAAUAUCUUUCUUUGGUCGGAGGGUUUGGAAAAACAGGGUACCAGUAGCAGCUGUUUUAGCUCUUUGGAAUCCAAAUUUGUCAGAACUUUGUAGUUGUUGUGUUACACCAGAAAAGGAAACAUUGGAACAUCUGUUCCUAAAGGGCGAAAUAGCUAUGGAGGUAUGGCAACACUAUUCUAAUGCUGCAGGUUUAUUAGGACCCUGGAUACAAAUCAAGCAAACUAUGGACAUAUGGUGGACAACUAAGGUGAACCCUAUGCAAAAGUACAUUUUUCAGGCAGUACCUACCAUAAUUUUGUGGUUCCUAUGGAAAAGGAGGAACUCAGUCCUCCAUGGAGGGUCAUAUAAUACCAACAAGUUGAUUUGGGACAUUAAUUAUAUGGUCCAGAAGCUGCUUAGAAGUAAAUUUGGUCUUGAACAAACUCCAAACACCUAGCCUCAAAUAGUUCCUGCCAUGGAGGGUUUCAGACCCAAGUUCGAGACUAAAUGGGUUAGAUGGUCUCCACCACCUUGUGGGUGGUGGAAAUGCAACACUGAUGGGGCAUCUAGAGGUAACCCAGGCCCAAGUUCUGCUGCGUUUUGUGUCAGAAACCAUCAUGGGGAUAUAAUUGGUGCACAAGGAAACAUGCUUCCUAAUUCUACUAAUUUGGUGGCUGAAAUGAUUGCUAUAAGAUCAGGCUUACAAUUUUGUUUGGAAAAUCAUAUUCCAAAGUUAAUUGUAGAAUCUGACUCUCUUGCAGCAGUGAACAUAAUCAAUGGUCUAUGGAAAAUUCCUUGGAAUGUGACAUUGGAGGUCAAUUCUAUAAGGAAAAUGAUGGAGUCCAUUACAACAAGAGUACAACACUCCUUGAGGGAGGGGAAUACUCUUGCGGACUAUUUAGCUAACAUGGUUUUUCAUUUUGCAGGUAACUUUGAAUUCAAAACUUUCCAGGAAAUGCCAAGCACAGCAAAGAAGAUUAUUAAUUUGGAUAAAUAGAGCACGCCACAAUUGAGGAUAAGGAAAUGCACAACAAUCUAAUCAUGGUCUUAACAGUGCAGAAUCAGGUUUUUCUUGAAAUUCUAAAAUCUGCCAGAUGAUACUAAUUGACUAAGUACAUAAUGUUGUCUGAACUAAGUUCUGUUGGUUAAACUUAUCAUGCACCUGGUGAGAGAUUGAGGUGUUUCAAAUGAUAUAAAACCAAGACACAUUAAUCUUGGUGCUUAGUGAUUAAAUAUCAUCUGCAGGUUAUAGCAAUUCAAGUACUACAAGAAUCAGUACAAUUGAAGAGUAUUGAAAUAUGAGCAAACAAUGUACCUGAGACCAUAACACAUCUGAUAAGAAUCACAGCAGCUAAAGCAAUCUUUGUAACCAGUACCAAUGAGCGGAUUCACCUUCAAAAAUAAUAGUUCAAUUUUUUUAUUUUUUUUUAUAGAUCUAGAUAUCGAUGGUGGUAUUAACUCCACUUGGGGUUCAACCCAUCGAGAUUAAAAUCUAAAAAAAAAAAAGAACAAAGAACGAACUAACUCUAUAAUGGUGACGAUAGCAAAUCCACGAUGCUAAAACAAUACAUAAGGAGACAGAGAAGUACAUCGACUCAUUUGUGCAGCUAAUAAGAGUUUAGAUGAUUACCUGUGAAUCGAUCUAUCAACAGCCGAGUUGAGUUGAUAAGCUUCAUUAAUGGUGAAGCAGCAAGUUGUUACAUGAGGAAACGUAGUGCAACCAUCAACAAUAGAGAGCAAAUUGACAAGCCACCAACAAUGUUUGAGCAAAGCACCAAGGAAGAUGACUUCCAGUCACUUUCCUAAUUUGAUGCUAAUGUUUAAGUGUUGUAUUGUUUUUAAUUUUUUAGGCCAGGCCACUUUUGGGCCUGGUCUUGUACAUAACCCAUUUU